UCAACCAUGACCUUCAUCUCCAUCUUCAUCUGCACACUGGCUCUCUGCACUCAAGGAUCCAGAGGUCAGGUGACUGUGACUCAGAGUCCUGCAGUAAAACAUGUUGAUCCAGGGGCUUCAGUCACCAUCAACUGUAAAACCAGUUCUAAUGUUUAUCGCUGGAGUGAUGGAGAUGAAGCUUUAGCCUGGUAUCAGCAGAAACCUGGAGAAGCUCCUAAACUCCUGAUUAGAUAUGCAAAGAAGUUAGAAUCAGGUAUUCCAGAUCGUUUCAGUGGCAGUGGAUCUGGAUCUGACUUCACUCUGACCAUCAGUAGAAUUGAGACGGGAGAUGCAGGAGAUUAUUACUGUCAGAGUCGACAUGAGAUCAGUGGUACCAACAUCUUCACACAGUGUUAUAUGGUGGUACAAAAACCUGGCUGAGUGGAAGUGUACAGAGUGAAUGAUUGUACUGUAUCACAUCCUCCCCCCCUCAGCACCUGCAGUCGGUCCCAGCUGCAGCAGUUCAGUCAAUCAUUCACUCUGUACAGAAAAUACUUUACUCACAAUUAACUUAC